rnacentral:rRNA from 1 species
GACGAACGCUGGCGGCGUGGAUUAGGCAUGCAAGUCGAACGGUAUCAUCCUUUCGGGGGUGAGAGAGUGGCGAACUGGUGAGUAACACGUAGGUUAUCUACCCUCAAGACGGGGACAACCCAGGGAAACUUGGGCUAAUACCGGAUGUGAGCAACUUUUAGUUGUUUGAAAGGUGGCGUAAGCUGUCGCUUGGGGAUGAGCCUGCGUCCUAUUAGUUAGUUGGUGAGGUAACGGCUCACCUAGGCAAUGAUAGGUAGGCGGCCUUAACGGGUGGUCGCCCACACUGGGAUUGAGAUACGGCCCAGACUCCUACGGGAGGCAGCAGUCGAGAAUAGUCUACAAUGGUCGGAAGACUGAUAGUGCGACGCCGCGUGAACGAUGAAUCCCUUCGGGGUGUAAAGUUCUUUUAUAUGUGAGCAGUGCUUCUUAUAUUAACAGUAUGGGGAAGAGAUAUUAGCAUAUGAAUAAGCAACGGCUAACUCCGUGCCAGCAGCCGACGGUAAACU